rnacentral:misc_RNA from 1 species
GAUGAAGAACGUAGCGAAAUGCGAUAAGUAGUGUGAAUUGCAGAAUUCAGUGAAUCAUCGAAUCUUUGAACGCACAUUGCGCCCCUUGGUAUUCCAUGGGGCAUGCCUGUUCGAGCGUCAUUUCAACCAUCAAGCCCUGUUUAGGCUUGUGUUGGGGCCCUGCGGCUGCCGCAGCCCCCUAAAUGCAGUGGCGGGCUCGUUGUCACUCCGAGCGCAGUAGCGUAUCUCGCUCUGGGCGUGGCGGCGGGUGCUAGCCGUGAAACACCCACUAAGGUUGACCUCGGAUCAGGUAGGAAUACCCGCUGAACUUAAGCAUAUCAAUAAGCGGAGGA